UUAACGGUACGUGAAGAGGUAGGGGGGGCGGCCCGCUAGCAGCAUCCACCUCUGAUUCGAGGUUCUACAAAAACCGAAGCCUUUGUUCGUUGUUCCCUUGUCGGGAGCGUUAUCAGUACACCACCGGGAAAAUGGAUGAGUCCCUUCCAGUCCAAAGAUUCGAAAAUCUUCCUUCGUCCAUUGAAUUCGAGUCUCUCGCCGAAUCCCGGAAUGUCCCUGCGGUAUUUACUGGAUGCAUCAAGGACUGGAAAGCCUUGGCUAAGUGGAAUCCAUCGAAUGGUGGCCUCGACUAUUUGCAGGUUUCUUCCAGCUCCGUUUUAUUGAUUGAAUGGGUAGGGUCGUGUACUGUGGAGGCAAUGCUAACAAGAUCUGCGCCUGUCUUUUAUGGUGAUCUGAGAAGUCAUGAGAGGGUUCCAUUACCAUUUUCUACUUUCCUUGAUUAUUGUAAACAACGGAAGCAAAACACAGAUUGUGGUACUGACGGCAAGCCUAAAGAUGAUGCUUCUGAACAAAUCUAUUUAGCGCAGGUACCGAUUAUGAAUGCUGACAAUGAGGAAAGGGUUCAGUUGGAAUCUCUGAGGGAAGAUAUUGAAGUGCCUGUAUUUUUGGAGAGGAGAGUUUUUGCUUCUAUCAACCUGUGGAUGAACAGUGCUAAAUCUAGAUCAAGUACUCACUAUGAUCCUCACCACAACCUUCUAUGCAUAGUUGCUGGCAGCAAACAAGUUAUCUUAUGGCCUCCUUCUGCUAGCCCCAUGUUAUACCCAAAGCCAAUAUAUGGGGAGGCCUCAAAUCACAGUUCUGUUGCUUUAGAAAACCCUGAUUUUUCAAUUUAUCCGAGAGCAAAAUGCUCCAUUGAGUACUCGCAGAGGGUUGUUCUUCAGGCAGGUGAUGCACUUUUCAUUCCUGAAGGCUGGUUCCACCAAGUAGACAGUGAUGAUUUGACCAUUGCUAUUAACUUUUGGUGGCAGUCGAACAUGAUGUCUCGCAUGUCAGAAGACUCAGAACAUAUGGAUGCAUAUUAUUUGCGCAGAAUAUUGAGAAGAUUGACAGACAAAGAGAUGGACCAUGCUCUAAGUAAGACACCUUCUACUGGAAUGGGGAAAAUAAAGAGGCAAUUAAGUAAGCUGCCCAGUAAUGGAAAAGUAGAUCAUCUUGAGAAUGAAUUGGAUGGAGCGUUUGAGAAGACAAUUUUGAAAGGGAAAGAACUGCAGCAUGGGAAUAUGCUGCAUGAGCUGGAACCUGUUACUCUCCAGGUGCUUCAUGAACUUGUUUCUCUGGUUCAUGAGCAUGUUAAGGUUUCUGAUCGGUGUCAACCGGCACAAUACACUUCAGUAAAUGAUUCUGAUUCCGGAGUGAAAGGUGAAAACAAGAAAGUUGUGACAGCUAAUUUAUUUCAUUUGGAAGAUGACCAGGUUGCUAAAAUUCUUUGUACCCUCGAAUCAAGUGUGCUGCAACAUGUAUUUCUUAAUAUGGCGCACAACUUCCCAAGAACUUUAGAGGCUCUAAUACUUCAUAUGCUUUCACCGGUGGGGGCAGAAGUUCUUACACGGAAAUUUGAUGAGAUAGAUCAACAGAUCUCUGAGGAAGAUCGGAACAAAUUCUACCAGGUCUUUUAUGGUGCAUUUGAUGAUCAGUUUACUGCAAUGGACGCCAUUCUAAAUGGCAAAGAGUCAUUUGCCCUCCGGGUAAUGUUGAGCUCUUGUUUUUGUGGAUUAGGAUUAUCGCAUUUGAUAAUAUUGUCAUUUUGUUCUUUUAAUUGUGAUGAAAUACACCUGCACAUUGUUUACUCUAGCAGCGUGUCCCAACAGAUGAAAACACUGUAUUUUGGUGGGAAUCUGGUGUUGGAUAUGGCUCUCUGGGAAGGCUGAAAUAUUUAGAGUUACUGCAUGCCUGAACCAAGGGUCCCUUUUGUUGAGUUUAUCUAGUUCAAGAAAUAGGGUUCAUUUGGAUGAAGUAGGUAGCGAACAGUGCUGAAUCCGUUGUUCACCACAUGCAUAGAGAUUAAAAAAUGUUCAUUCUUUUAAAUCUCUUCAAGCAUUUAACAUCAAGUUCCUCCCCUCAGACCUUGUCCUGGUGGGUUUUCUAGAUUCUGUCUGUGACCUUGGAGUUUAAAUUGUGCUAUUUUUUGUCAUGUAUAAAUUUUCCUGUUAACUUCUUGUUGUCCAGGCUCAUUGUAGAUUUGUGUUCUGGUUCAACUUUGACAACAUCCUCUUUACAUGAAUUGAAGUCUUUAUCUUUUCUCGGCACGGAAUGUCUUAGUCCACAUUACAUUCUCUCCCCCUUUUGUUAUUUACAUUUUCCCAGUAGACAGUAGACAUAGUUAUCAUUUCAGUGGACAUGCAUAUCAAUUGCUUUACCUGCUAAAGGAUUGUCUUUAACUUUUUUUUUUUUGCCCAUUUAUGAGGACCAAUUCAUGAUGAGCAGGCUGCCUACAAGAUCUUCCUGACAUUGCCCAUGAAAUAUCCAAAAUAUAACCUAACAGCAGUUCGAAUAAUUGUCCAGGAUAUACCAAAUCUAGAGGAGCAAUGAUGCAUUGUGUUGGUUUGUAUUUUUUGUAAAUCUUUGUUUUCGCUGCUUUACAUUGCAGGCAUUCAAGAAUGUGUUGGAUAAAUAUAUUGGAGUAAACUUGGAUGGACCAAAGUGAGGGAUUAAAUGAUUGUUUUAACAACUUUCCCAGCUUGUAUCUCAGGAGAGCAUCUCAUUCAUGUUCACAGAUGUUUAAGGAGAGAAGCUACAAUGAGGAGAAAAUAGUGGUGGACCCAUUACACAUUACCAGUGGCCUCGUUCAAAAUUAGACACCCUUGGGUUAUGGCUAGAUCGAAGUAUGCAGUUUGUGAUGGAAAAGGCUAUUAAUAAUUAGUAACUUUGUGAAAAUGUACCUGUGUUUUUUUAAUGUGUUAUUAUGUGGUAAUCCUCUCUUGAAGUUUGUGUGAAAGGCUAAAGAGAGUUCUGUAUGGGGAUUUGAGGCUGAAGGGGGGGAAAGGAGAGAAAAGCAUGAAAAAGAAGGUUUGGUAAUUAUUAGGAUUGGAAGGGAGAACGAGGCAAAAGGGAAGGUUUCAUGAGUUGAUUCCCUGACGGGGAAGAUGACAUAUGAAAGUGUUCUUGGGAGAGGAAGAGGGUGGGAGGGAAAGGGAAUAGAAGAGAAGCUUUUGGUUUGUCUGGUAGUGCAGCGAGGAAGAUAAAAAGAAGCAGUCUUUUUUACUAGGCAAAUGGCAUGUAUUGUACCUAAAUCCUGCCACUUAGAAAUAUACUUUCUAAAAGCUUGGAUAUACCAUAACAACCAACCUUCCUUUCAUUAA